UUUGAUCCUGGCUCAGAUUGAACGCUGGCGGCAUGCCUUACACAUGCAGGUCGAACGGCAGCACGGGAGCAAUCCUGGUGGCGAGUGGCGAACGGGUGAGUAAUACAUCGGAACGUGCCCAAUCGUGGGGGAUAACGCAGCGAAAGCUGUGCUAAUACCGCAUAAGAUCUACGGAUGAAAGCAGGGGAUCGCAAGACCUUGCGCGAAUGGAGCGGCCGAUGGCAGAUUAGGUAGUUGGUGAGGUAAAGGCUCACCAAGCCUUCGAUCUGUAGCUGGUCUGAGAGGACGACCAGCCACACUGGGACUGAGACACGGCCCAGACUCCUACGGGAGGCAGCAGUGGGGAAUUUUGGACAAUGGGCGCAAGCCUGAUCCAGCCAUGCCGCGUGCAGGAUGAAGGCCUUCGGGUUGUAAACUGCUUUUGUACGGAACGAAACGGCUCUUUCUAAUAAAGAGGGCUAAUGACGGUACCGUAAGAAUAAGCACCGGCUAACUACGUGCCAGCAGCCGCGGUAAUACGUAGGGUGCAAGCGUUAAUCGGAAUUACUGGGCGUAAAGCGUGCGCAGGCGGUUAUGUAAGACAGUUGUGAAAUCCCCGGGCUCAACCUGGGAACUGCAUCUGUGACUGCAUAGCUAGAGUACGGUAGAGGGGGAUGGAAUUCCGCGUGUAGCAGUGAAAUGCGUAGAUAUGCGGAGGAACACCGAUGGCGAAGGCAAUCCCCUGGACCUGUACUGACGCUCAUGCACGAAAGCGUGGGGAGCAAACAGGAUUAGAUACCCUGGUAGUCCACGCCCUAAACGAUGUCAACUGGUUGUUGGGUCUUCACUGACUCAGUAACGAAGCUAACGCGUGAAGUUGACCGCCUGGGGAGUACGGCCGCAAGGUUGAAACCCAAAGGAAUUGACGGGGACCCGCACAAGCGGUGGAUGAUGUGGUUUAAUUCGAUGCAACGCGAAAAACCUUACCCACCUUUGACAUGUACGGAAUUUGCCAGAGAUGGCUUAGUGCUCGAAAGAGAGCCGUAACACAGGUGCUGCAUGGCUGUCGUCAGCUCGUGUCGUGAGAUGUUGGGUUAAGUCCCGCAACGAGCGCAACCCUUGUCAUUAGUUGCUACAUUCAGUUGGGCACUCUAGUGAGACUGCCGGUGACAAACCGGAGGAAGGUGGGGAUGACGUCAAGUCCUCAUGGCCCUUAUAGGUGGGGCUACACACGUCAUACAAUGGCUGGUACAAAGGGUUGCCAACCCGCGAGGGGGAGCUAAUCCCAUAAAACCAGUCGUAGUCCGGAUCGCAGUCUGCAACUCGACUGCGUGAAGUCGGAAUCGCUAGUAAUCGUGGAUCAGAAUGUCACGGUGAAUACGUUCCCGGGUCUUGUACACACCGCCCGUCACACCAUGGGAGCGGGUUCUGCCAGAAGUAGUUAGCCUAACCGCAAGGAGGGCGAUUACCACGGCAGGGUUCGUGACUGGGGUGAAGUCGUAACAAGGUAA
rnacentral:rRNA from 1 species